AUCUUCAUCUGUGACAAAAAAAAUGUAAAGAUUAUACUAGUAUCUAUUUGACCUUCUGUAUCUCUAAUAUACAGACUGUACAAGAAUUAUAACAAUACCAACCAUAAACAUUGGUUCGGCAAACAUUUAUGAGGACCACCAGGGAAUACAAAGAAACAAGAUACGCUCCUUGUCUUGAGGCUCCUUGUCUUUGAGGCUCAUCAUAGGGGAGCAGAAACAUUACUAUAGAAGACAAUGUGUGCUGUAUAUAAUAAAGGAAUAUGUAAAAUGUGGGGAGAGAGCAGAGAGGAUAACUCUGCCAUAAGUGAACAGGUCACAGCCUUGGGGAUAGGAAUUAAGUGGCCUUACAAUGGCCCUUUUUGUCUAAAGUGCUUACCUUUUAGUCCACCAGCUCAAAUAUCCACCUUGAAAGAUACAUUCUUUUUGAUUGAGUAAUUUAAUCAUAUAUUAAGAUAUUUAUUGGAUGCUUAACACACGCCAGGCUGUGUUCUAAGUAUUGAUGAGACAACAAUGAACAAAGCAAAGUUGUUCCUCUUCGGGAUUUACAUUCUAAUGGCGGGGAGACAGACAAUAAACUAGCAGCCAACUAAGUCUGUGUCGGGUGGUGACGAGUGGCAGCAAAAGGGGGCAAGAAAAUAACGGUGGGCAUGAAAGGGGGUAGCUACUUUAGAUGAAACGUCAGCAAAGUCCUCUCUAACGAGGUACAUUGCAAGUAGGGACCUGAACUAAGUGAGAGAAUUCAGCACUUGGGUAUCUGAGGAAGAAUGUUCAAGGAAAAGAGAACAGCGAGAACAAGGACCCCGAGGCAAGAGCACACUGAGUAUGAAUUGGUGUGAAUGGUCCCCUUCAGCUGUCUAUCUCCCUGGGACAUGUUGCAUUAGUACUACUUAGCAAAUAAACUAGCAUGCUUAUGACCUCAUAAGGCUGAUAGGAAAUGGAGAGGCCUGGCAAGUUUGAGUUGAGGGAGAAGGAAACUGACAUGAAAUAUAAUAACACUGAUCACUAUUGUUGUUGUUCACACGGAGAACCUACUAUGUGCCAGGCACUGUUCUAAACUAUAUAUGUAUAUUAACUCACUCUUCUAUUAAGUAGAUGUUGGUAUCAUCCCCAUUUAACAUUUGGGGAAACUGAGGCACAGAGGGGUUAAAUAAUUUGCCCAAGGUCACACAGCUGUAAUUUGAACCCAGACAGUGUCCCCAUAUUCACCCUCCCCGAUGGAAGGGCAGAGCUGCCGUGCUCUGUGAGGAGGAGCCAAGUGGGUGGGCAGUGUGCCCCAUAGGAGUCCUUGAAAGGCACAGACUCUGGAUGCUCAUGUGUGGGGUCAGGGUGGCUGGGCAGAAAAAUGGGCAGCUAGAGGGUAAUUUGCCUUCUUCACAAUUACGCUUAUUAUUAUUUUGUCUUUCUCUACUUAAAGACUGACCUUUUUUCCAUAGAAAAGUAGAAGAAUUCUUGCGGAAACCUAAUAGCAGAGCUUCUGAAACAUUUCACAAAAUCUAGGUGAUUAUUGUGCCGAUGUCCAUUAAGAACCUUGUAUCUAGAAUUCACCGUACCUGUGAAUGAAGUGCAGCUGCUCCAAGUAGACACAACCUUUUGAAAUAUCUACACACAGAUCCACCAGGUCAACCAAGUGUCUUGUUUGUCUUGUGUGUUUCUCGUCUGAUAUAGAAGGUAGUUUCCCGCAGGUGCUGUCACAGCUGGCCCCGAUCCCACAGACUUUGCAGGUGAGCACCGAGGACAGAAGCCAAGGGAAGACAAGAUGGAGUCCUACAUCCUGUAGGCAGAACUGCAGAGCUGGCUGGGCUUGUUAGUGUGGUCGUAGAAGAGAAAGCAAGGAACUGGAUGGAUGGCUUGGAGGACGAGAUAUUCGAGCCAUGAUCACACAUUUAGAAGAACAUACGCAUGUUUAAAGCUGAACAGCCUCAGAUGUCACUUGCGAAACACGCUCCUUAUUGAAGGUCAAAGAAAUGAGGAACUUUUGCCUGAGGACUGCCUGUUGGAAGACUGGUUUCUAUAGAACACUGGUUACCACAGACAUAUUUAUGUCUAAACUUCAGCCAUGUUUGUUUGGGGCAUGACCUGUGAUGUCAGGUCAUUUUGAAUGUUAACAAUUUACCAAUCAGAUAUAAAAGCUUUCUACUCCUAUCAAGGGAAAAUGAAGCCAGAGCUGCCCCAAUACCUCAUCAGAUGUGCCUCUUUCAGGAACUCAAUCUUCUCCUGGUCUGUGGAGCCCUUCUUCAAAGUCUAGACAAUACAAAAUAAGCCAGCAAUCAGUAUAGCAGACAUUCUGUGAGCUCAGUGGGUUAAUGGAGACAAUCUUUGAUUUGUUUUGUAAUAUUCACUCUGAAAGCUGGAAAUAGAUCAUGGCUAAUACACGUGCAUGUGCUCUGUAAACUCAUUCAAAACUUAGCCUGUAUUAGAACUAGUGUCCAAGUGGGAAAGCCUGAAAAACAAAAGACCUAGUAUCAUCUACACAAAUUCCCUCCAAAAAUGUAGACAUUUUAAAAAGAACAAAUUUGGUGUGUGGGCCAGUUUCUUAAUUUUCAAAGUUUUCUACCCAAUAUCUGUUUCCCCCGGCUUCCCUGCUAAUGAUCCCCUAAUUUGUCUCUUAGAGGCAAGAUGCCCAGUCCCAGACAAUUGGUCAUAAUGAAUCAGGAAAAUUGUGUUUUGUAAUUCUCCAGCCUCCCUUGCAAAUAGGGGUGGUCAUCUGUGUCAAUUCUGGUCAAUGCGGUGUAAGGGGAAAACUCCUGAAGGGAAGAGAAGCUUGUGGAAAACUUUCACUUUUUUGAACAUAUACACCUAACAUCAUUCCUUCCCCCUUGCCCUGACCUGAAUGAAGAUGUAAUGCCUGAGCUUUGGCAACCAUCUUGGGAUCAUGAGGCAACACACAUGUACAAAGUCAAGAGAGUUUCAGAUAUUCUGGCUCUGACCUAACACAGUACUGCACCAAAAACCCGCAGUCCUCUCGUUAUGUGAGAAAAAUAAACACUUGUUUACACCAGGUGAGGCUAGAGUAGUUUAAAGCACUUUUAGAUUGCAUGAUUUGGCAGCGGAGAGGAUUUUGCCAACCUUUCUGGUUGUAUAGCCCUCUCUCAAAGCAACAAAUUCCUAACAAGCAGUGGUCAGGAUGUUGCCCUGUUACAUAAAAGAUUCAUCAUCCCUCGAUGAAAAGGUUUUAGACAAAUAUGAGAGUCUACCCAGCACUUCCUUAAAACUACAUUCAAUAUACCAUGCGAAUAACUGUGUCCUACCGGGGGUCAGCAAACUCUAGCUUGUAGACCAAUACCAGCCUGCAACUUUUUUUGUCCAGCUUGAGCUCUGAAAAUAGUUGUUCAGCUUUAACUUUGUGUUUUUCCAGCUUUCCUGAGGUAUAAGUGACACGUUACAUUUUCAAACGGCUGGACAAAAGUCGAAAAGAGGGUAUUUCUUAACCCGUGAAAAUGAUAUGAAAUUCACAUUUCAGUUUUCAUAAAUAGAGUUCACAUAUGGACUAGGGCUGUUUCACACUGCGAAGGCUGAGUUGCAUCAGCGGCAACUGCCCUCAUACCCGAGACAUGGAGAACGUGCUUUCCACCCCGGGUCCUCUUAUAGUAUAUUCAAAGGGAAAAACCACCUGCCGAGUCUUAGCUAAUCAGUUACCUUAGGUGGUAACUAUGAAUUACAGAGCUUACGGAAGAAAUGGAAGAAACAUUGUCAUUUCUGUUGUCAUGCAUGGACUCCCACUUUCAGCUGUCUUUUCAAUUAAAAUCACUCAUAUGUUACUACAGUUUUAUCCAUGUAAAUUCAUGUAAAUGUGCUGACCCGACAUGUCAAGGAAUUAAAAGAUCUGCAUUACCUUCA